UGCUCACCUUGGCCCUCCGUGUGACGCGCAGGGCCGGGCACCCUGGGCGGAGAGCCCGGGGCGAGCACCUGGGGCUGCGGACCCGCGGAGGGCCCAGGAGGGGGGCAUCGGAAGCCAAGCCCUACGCUUGUGCAGACAAUGAGUGGUGCGGUGGCGGGGGUCCCAGUGGCGGAUCCCGUCCUCGCCUCGCCCUCUCGCCGGCUCUGCCGCUCCGGUGCCGCUCCGCGCCGGCUGGGGACCCGCGUGGGGCCCGCUUUUUGUUUACAGACCUCGUCAUUGGGCGAGAGUCGAGCGCUGCGCCCCCAGGCCCCGGCCGCUGUCGCUGUCGCCUGCCUCCGCCGAGUGGGGAGAAGUUGGCGCGCGCCGGCAGUAGCCCCGGUGGUCCUUCGACAGUCAGGCCGACUUGCAGCCCGUCUUUUCCUGCGCGUCGGCAGAUUUUGAAGGACUCGUGGGAGCCCCCGGGACGCCGCAAACGCCUGCUUGCUUCAGCGGUACCCACGCGGCGCCGUGCAGCAGAGGUGUGGCGCCUUGGAGCCCUCGCGGUCGGGAUCGGGUUACGGUGCCGGCCGAGCCGCGCACGCUCGGACAGGCUGCGCCCGGCCGGGGGGGUCAGGCAUACUCGGUGCCAGAGCCUGCUCAGGGUAGCUCUCCAGCUGGGCGACCCGGCUGGAGCUAGCCUCAGUUUGUGUGCCUGUAGAGUGGGGCUAAUGAGUAUCCAGAGGGGAUGGAUGGGUUGCGCGGGACAGUGAUUGGUCACACAUAAAACACUGGGGUCAGGUUGGCCCUCUGUUAGAAGGGCCCCCAGCGCCCCCUUUUCCGAAUUCCCUAGGCUUUCAGCCCCCAUUUGCAAAGACCCGGAGGACUGCUGUUUUCAGCUGCGGAACAGGAGUUGUUUGACUUGGCUUUAGAUGUAAUUAUACUUAUCUUGUUUGACUUUCCAUUGGGUUUUAGUUGUUUCUUCUUCCUUCUUCCUGCAGACUCUGUGAGGCCCCGACCUGGGCUGGCAGGAGGGAGGAACCCGGCAGCUGGGCAGGGUGGCUGGUUGAUGGCUGCAUUCCAGAUGUUAACACUGUCAGAAGCUUGACUUCCAUGUGGUAUUAUGACAAGUACUGGAGAAGGCUUAUGAUCGCCCAGUGGAUGAGACAUGUAUCCGUGCAUACAUGGAUCUGUGCAUACAUGAAGACAGGACUGUAAGGCAGAAGGAGAAGUAUGCAAAACUUAGAAGAGAAAUGCCUGUUGUGUUAGGAUCUGCAGAGGGAGAUCUUUUCUCCUGAUCACUGCCAUAAAUAUUUGAAGAUGAGAUCGGGGUCCUCAAAUUAUUGUCUGCGGACCAAAUCCUGCAGGCUUUCUGGUUUUGUGCAAUCAUUGAAAUACAAAUACUUUUUAUAUUUUUAAAUGGCUGAGAAUUAAAAAAACCCCACAAGGGCAAUAUAGUCAUGUGCCACAAACCAUGUUUCAGUCAGUAAUGGGUCAUACAUUGUUCAGUGGCCCCAUAUAAGAUUUCGUUGUCUGCGAUGUUGUAGCUGGUUUAGUUUGUAUACAUACAUUCUAUGAUGUUUGUACAACGAUGAAGUAGCCUAACGAUGAGUUUCUCAAAAUGUAUCCCCCUCAUUAAGUGAUACACAGCUGUAAUAAUUUGUGCCCUGUGAAAAUAAUAUGAAUUUCAAAUUUCAGUGUUCACAAUAAAGUUUUAUUGGAACAAAGCCAUACUUGCUCAUAUUGCCUGUGGUUGCUUUUACAUUCCAAUAACAGAAGCGAAUCAUCACGACAGAGAGUAUGGCCUUCAAAGCCUAAAAUAUUUAUUACCUGACCCUUUAUAGGAAAGAGUUUGCCCAUGCUGGACUUUGAGUUAUCCAACACUUACAGUAUCGUUGUCCUGUCUGAUGUCCUUUUUCCUCUAUCACCACAUACCCACUAUUCCCUUCUCAUUCCAUCCAUCCAUCCAUCCAUCCAUCCACCCAUCCUUGGUUCCUGGGCCAUCCUGGCAUCAGCAGUUCUUGGAUUUGUUUGUGGGAUGGUUAGUAAUGAUUGCUGUAGGUAGAGCUGCGCUCUCCUCUGCAUCCAAGCCUGGUGCCUCAGGGUUUCCUCAGUGCAACUGUCCCUUGCUCAAACACACCCCCGACACCCACUUCAGUUGCUGAUUGCAUGUCAUCCAUUGGCUCCCAGCAGAGGCCUUUGAAGGACUUCUCCUUGCUCACAAUUUUAGCUUGUGAAAUGGAGUCCCAUUCAUUAAACUGUAAGACACCACUUGACAAGGGAUUUUAUUUUUUAAAUGGCCCCUUGCUUAGCAAAUUUAUUCCUCCUGAGCUACUUUCAUUUUUGGUAAUCUAUAGAAAAGUAAAACAAUGCAGUAAAAUAAUGCAUUAAUGGAAUCUGUAAUCUUUCUCUAGGCACUGGGAACACUGCAAAGCUUGCCAU
ensembl:lncRNA